rnacentral:rRNA from 1 species
AGCACGGGCUUCGGCCUGGUGGCGAGUGGCGAACGGGUGAGUAAUACAUCGGAACGUGCCCUGUAGUGGGGGAUAACUAGUCGAAAGAUUAGCUAAUACCGCAUACGACCUGAGGGUGAAAGCGGGGGACCGUAAGGCCUCGCGCUACAGGAGCGGCCGAUGUCUGAUUAGCUAGUUGGUGGGGUAAAAGCCUACCAAGGCGACGAUCAGUAGCUGGUCUGAGAGGACGAUCAGCCACACUGGGACUGAGACACGGCCCA